AAAAUGGAUGCAUAAAGUGUUAUUGGACUUGUAGGCGAGAGUGAUAUUUUGUUUUCUAGCCAAGUCGCGAUCGAGGUUUUCGGAUAGUUUGGGGAUGUAUGUUAUGCUGUGGUAUUGUUUUUUCGUGUCUGUUGUUUUUGUAGAUGUUGCUCUAUUUUGAGGGCUGGUUAUUUCCAUUACUUUCUGUUGUAUAAGUUCGCGUAUUAGGUAGUCGGGGUAAUUGUUGCUUUUUAGUAUUUUUCUUAUUUUGUCUAUGUUUGCGUCAUGAAAUCGUUGGUGGCUUAAAGUAAGUAUUUUAUGUAUUAGGUUUUUGGCGGUGUUUAUUUUGUAUUUGGUGGGUUUAGUAGUUAAUUAGGCGGCCAGAAGAUGUAGGUUUGGAGUACCAGUCCAAAAGUAAGCUAUUUUUCUCUCUGUGAAUGCAGACGUCUAAGAAGGGGAUGCGUGCGUUUUCUUCC